rnacentral:lncRNA from 1 species
AAACAAUCAAGUCAGAUCGAUGACAAAACUAUUUAACUGGAGAAGCACAUUAUGAUGAAGAAGAACCUGAUGUGGGGGUGAAGAGGGUGAGCAAGUAUAUAAUUGUAGUAUUGGGGAAACUAUCAUAAAAUUAAUCAUUAUGGGUUUUUUGGCUGUUAUGAGCCUUUGUCUGAUAAGUUUUUUUUUUCAUUUUCUGAGUUAACUAAUGCUUUCUUAUUUGAAAGAUAAGGAAAUAAGUGGGAACUGGUGGCCAGAAGAUGCGUGAGCUAGCUCACCUUAGAUGGGCUACUGGUCAGCAGUGUGUGACCUCUGCAAAUUAUUUAAUCAUGCUGUGCCUCAGUUCCCUGCCUACACAGGAUGGAACAUAUCUCCAAGUUCCUUGCAAUGGCUCAAUUAGAAUAUGACAGAGAGAAAGAGCAAACAAGAAUAUUUGGCCCAUGGUGGGAUUAGUUUUUUGGAGCAUACUAGAAAGAAUCUAGAGAACUCAGGUAAAAUUAGCCAAGUUCAUAUUCUAAUCCACAGUAUAGAAAAGGGUAGCUCUGAAAAACUAAGUUCAUAUGCAAAAGCAUAAUCAAAUUUAUAUUUUCCCAAAGUAUCCCCGUUAGACAAAAUUAUUAAUAACUAUGUGUACCAAUAACCUAUCAUUUCUGCCAAAAUGUUGUUAGUCAUCAUUCAUACUUGCCUACAUGACCAAAUUGUUGUAUGGACUCAAUUUGAUAUAGGUUAAUUCAGUCUGUGUUGCAUGAUGUCUUCAAUUCACAGGUAGUUUGAAUUGAAUCCUGAUACUAGUUGAAGAGCAGAGAUCUAUCAAUGAAGAGACUUAGGAGCUAGAACCUGAAGGGGCCUUUUUGCAUAUUUCCUUAUUGGAACUGAUUUCAGUAAGCUUCUCUGUGUGUUCCUUUCCUUAUUUAUUCUUCUCAUUUUAUUUAAUUUUAUUUGUGGUGCUGGGGAUUGAACUCAGGGCCUCAUACAUGUCAGGCAAGUGCUGUACCACUUAGAUUAUCCCAGCCCUCCUUUAUUUAUUCUUAGGUAUUGAAUAGUUUGAUAUUAUUCACUUUCUAUCCAGGUUUUUGCUGAGGAAAAUAAUAUAGUAGAAAUGAAAAGGAUGCUAUUAAUUCAAAUAAAAUAUUAUGUCAGAUUUGCUUUGUUGUACACCUGAAUUAAUGUUUCUAAAAGGUUUUGCAAAGUUAGUAGAACAUGUGGAGACAAGAAUUCAGGCCUUGUUGAGAAUCCAAGUUGAUCCCUACCACCCUUUACUAGUUAAAGGACCUCACAAAAUCCUAGAGCUUGGAAGAAUCCAUUGCCCUAUCCAUAAUACAUUUUUAGAUGAUGUGGUACAGACUCUGGGAAAACAGACAGCUAAUCACAUCUCAGCAAAAACCAAAUUCAUUAGAACAUUUACUUAAAAUAGGAAUGUAUAACAAAUCUCUGACAUGGAAAUAUGAAAAUAAUUUCAUAUCAGGCAGGGAUCCUCAACCAGGUUUCGUGCUAGCUGAAACCUGGAUAUCCAUGGAUGAGUUACAAAGAUCUUGAAAUUAUAAGCCAAGUGAACAUGUGUAUAUUGUUCUCAAGAGAAAUCCACAACUUUCUUCACAUUCCUUUAUGACUCCAGAAAGGUUAAAAACAACUGAUACAAAAACAAGUUAUUUUAAAUGAACUUAAAAAAAAAAAAAGAUACACAUUCACUGAAGUCAAAUGUCACACUGGUUACAACAUGGAUAGUAUAUAAUAAUUAUCAGUAUUCAGAAUGAUGGCCUUGAGACACGAUGAAAGCCUCAUGUCAAAGAAAUUUACUUAACUGACAAUUCGAAAAUAUAGCAGCCUAUUCAAAUUAUUUGAAUACUGAAUUGAAAUGAGGUUUCCGUUUUUGUCCAAGCGGGUUGGACAAUCCUCUGUGUGCUAAGCAAGGUAGAUUCAUGUAGGAAAAUAAUCAUUGUUUCAAGGAGUAGUUAGGAGUCCACUGCAGCUGAGGUGGCAAAGAAUGAGGAGGAAGAACUGGAGGGAUAUUUGGCAGGGGACUGGAAUUCACAGACUUUCAUGUCUGGUUUAGGCAACUGAGUUAAAUGUUAUUAAAGAGAUAAAAAAAAAAAAAAGAUUAAGAAAAUAAUGAAUUUGGUUUGAUAUACGUUGGCUUUAAAGUCCUUUGGAACAGCCCAAUUCCACCAGCCCUGGGAAAAAUUAAGAACAGAUUUGUGGCUGGAGAAAUUUAUUUGGAAUCAGCAAGCAGUGAAUUGGGGAUGGGUUAGGCUGGUAAGACACGUGGCAAAAAAAAAUUAUGAACAUAAAGGACUUAGAGUCUGGAGUAAAGUUGCAGUUAUUUGAAUGAGAUCUAAUUUGCAAAAUGUGAAAUUAUAUAACACCCAAGGCAAAACAGUAUUAGUGAUUUUAAGUAUUGGUAGACAGCUGUACUGUAGCAUACAUUUCAGAAAAGAACAAUCCAUCUCAGAAUUCUACUUCCCCAUGAGGUUUUUCUGGACUUCUUUCAAGACACAGUUUUCCUUUUGAGAUACCACUUUCCCUGCCUGGGUACAGAAGGGAGAAAGAGUUUUCCUUGGCAACCAGGUUCAACUGGAAAAAAAUAAUCAAGAUGUCACCUGAUGCCACAAGCUACAGACUAUGUUUUCAUCUCCGUGGACCUGCCAGUUGCUGAAGCAGCAGAGGAAACUCAGUGUCAUGGAAAGAACACUAAACUUAGAGUCAGAACCCUCGAGGGUGAGUCUCAUUUCUGCCUCUCGCUGCAAUUGCAACGGUGGCCAUUCACCCAACUUCUCCACAUCUGGAUUUCUUCUGUAGUCCCUGCCCUAUUGUCACUGGGUCAUGAUUCCUAUAGCACUGUUUUGGAAAUUCCCAAAGGGCUGGCAUAAGGGGGAGUAACCACAGCUUCAAAAGUUAUCUCUUCUCUGAACUCCUCCACAGUGACACCUCACUGCAUCCCCAGUGAAAGCCCCGUAUGGCGGACCCCUCUUUGUCUCCACUGCCAUCAACAUUCCUAUAGUACACUUAGAUCAAUGAGGCUGUACUCACACUUGAAUUUUCCUUACUCUGUCCACUGCUCAGAGGUCUUGGCUGCCUUUACUGUAACAGAUGUUUUAGUUAUCUUUUGACUUGUAGAGCCCAGCAUACAGUAGAUGCACUGUAAGCGCUAAAUGAAUAAACAAUUAUCAGAGAACACUUGCCUGCACAUGUUCCCAUUUUGAGAAAAUGCUUUAGGUAAGCUGAAAAAUGGGAAGUGCUGGGCCAGCCUUACUGAUAGGCAAUAGACCAGAGUGCUUUGCUCAUAAAAUUUCUACAUUACUGUGUAUUGGCCUAUAAGUUCCCUUAUAAUUUCUUAUAAGGGAAUAAAGGCCUUCUUUUAUCAGACUUAAGCUUGAAAUGAAAAUCCUAUUAUCACUUCUUCCAAAAAAUGUUUACACUGGUUUUAUUCGACACUGAUAUAAACAUGCUUCAUUUCAGAUUUUGCCAGAAAGCUGAGGAAAGAAAAUGGGAAAAAAAUACCAUAAACCCAUAGGAAAAUUCAAUGACUGUGAAUAUCUGGUGGAAAAGACACAGAAGGCACUCCGAAUGUCCUGUUUUCAAAUUCCUGAAGAAUUUUCUUUAGCCUUCUAGGAUUAUGUAUUUUACCUUCAAAAUCAAAUGUGUGAUCUUUAAGUAUCAGGGUUUGGGGGAGGUUUAAACGAGAAAAUGCAUAUGAUGGUACCAUGCUUUGUCAAAGUAAACAGCUGAUUUAAAAAAAAAAAAAGAAAAGAAAAUUCUCCUCCGGGUUCAUCAGUUUGUAACCAUAAUAAACUUGUAAGC